rnacentral:rRNA from 1 species
AAGGCUGAGCUGUGAUGGCGAGCGAAAUUUAGUAGCGAAGUUCCUGAUUCCACACUGCCAAGAAAAGCCUCUAGCGAGGUGAGAGGUGCCCGUACCGCAAACCGACACAGGUAGGCGAGGAGAGAAUCCUAAGGUGAUCGAGAGAACUCUCGUUAAGGAACUCGGCAAAAUGACCCCGUAACUUCGGGAGAAGGGGUGCUUCUUAGGGUGUUAAAGCCCCGAGAAGCCGCAGUGAAUAGGCCCAGGCGACUGUUUAGCAAAAACACAGGUCUCUGCGAAGCCGUAAGGCGAAGUAUAGGGGCUGACGCCUGCCCGGUGCUGGAAGGUUAAGAGGAGCGCUUAGCGUAAGCGAAGGUGCGAAUUGAAGCCCCAGUAAACGGCGGCCGUAACUAUAACGGUCCUAAGGUAGCGAAAUUCCUUGUCGGGUAAGUUCCGACCCGCACGAAAGGCGCAACGAUCUGGGCACUGUCUCAACGAGAGACUCGGUGAAAUUAUAGUACCUGUGAAGAUGCAGGUUACCCGCGACAGGACGGAAAGACCCCGUGGAGCUUUACUGCAGCCUGAUAUUGAAUGUUGGUACAGCUUGUACAGGAUAGGUAGGAGCCUUGGAAACCGGAGCGCUAGCUUCGGUGGAGGCAUCGGUGGGAUACUACCCUGGCUGUAUUGACCUUCUAACCCGCUGCCCUUAUCGGGCAGGGAGACAGUGUCAGGUGGGCAGUUUGACUGGGGCGGUCGCCUCCUAAAAUGUAACGGAGGCGCCCAAAGGUUCCCUCAGAAUGGUUGGAAAUCAUUCGCAGAGUGUAAAGGCACAAGGGAGCUUGACUGCGAGACCUACAAGUCGAGCAGGGACGAAAGUCGGGCUUAGUGAUCCGGUGGUUCCGCAUGGAAGGGCCAUCGCUCAACGGAUAAAAGCUACCCCGGGGAUAACAGGCUUAUCUCCCCCAAGAGUCCACAUCGACGGGGAGGUUUGGCACCUCGAUGUCGGCUCAUCGCAUCCUGGGGCUGUAGUCGGUCCCAAGGGUUGGGCUGUUCGCCCAUUAAAGCGGUACGCGAGCUGGGUUCAGAACGUCGUGAGACAGUUCGGUCCCUAUCCGUCGCGGGCGCAGGAAAUUUGAGAGGAGCUGUCCUUAGUACGAGAGGACCGGGAUGGACGCACCGCUGGUGUACCAGUUGUUCUGCCAAGGGCAUCGCUGGGUAGCUAUGUGCGGACGGGAUAAGUGCUGAAAGCAUCUAAGCAUGAAGCCCCCCUCAAGAUGAGAUUUCCCAUUCCGCAAGGAAGUAAGAUCCCUGAAAGAUGAUCAGGUUGAUAGGUCUGAGGUGGAAGCGUGGUGACA